rnacentral:rRNA from 1 species
GUGCUCCCCCGCCAAUUCCUGGUCGGGUCACGUUCUGGUCGAGCCCCUUUUUGUCGACACUUACAGCCUUGAUAAUCUCCCGGAAAGUGGUCGGUUGGUAUUCUCCCGGUUUGCCGGACUCGAGCACUAGUUGAGCAGCUUCGCCGGUUCCCGCAUUUCGCAACUCCAAUACCCCGGAGUUCUUCUUCUGACUAAUAAGUUCAGGCACAUCGGCCGCAAGAUCGGCCACGGCCCGAUUAUACAACGUCACCGCCUGGCUCGAAUUGGAAGAGGGAUUGUUUCCUGUCUUACUCAUUUCGCCUGCAGUUAUCUUGGCUACGGCAAGGUAUUCGAAGGCUUGUCCCUCCGUAUUCAACUUUAUCUUUUCCGCCUUGGCGAGUCGGUGCUCGGCCUGCAAGAGGGUCGGCUCGGUGGUUAGUUUUUCUCGGGUCGCGCACCCGGCGGCGAGGAUGACAAUGGCCAGCGCGAUCGGGGUUUUGCAUCGGACCAGGCCGGGGCUGCAGUGGGAAAAAGAGAUGUUCAUGAGAUUUACCGGGAUUUUGAAAUUAAUCGGUCAGGAUAUUGAAUUCUCUCGCGCUCCGGGUUGUUUCCGUUUCACCGGUGCAUCGCUCAGCACAAGCGUGAGACCCGGCAGGAUCAACCGGAG